rnacentral:rRNA from 1 species
GAUGAACGCUAGCGGGAGGCCUAACACAUGCAAGCCGAGCGGUAUUUCUUCUUCGGGAGAGAGAGAGCGGCGUACGGGUGCGGAACACGUGUGCAACCUGCCUUUAUCUAGAGGAUGGCCUUUCGAAAGGAAGAUUAAUACUCUAUAAUAUAUUAAUUGGCAUCAAUUGAUAUUGAAAACUCCGGUGGAUAGAGAUGGGCACGCGCAAGAUUAGCUAGUUGGUGAGGUAACGGCUCACCAAGGCAAUGAUCUUUAGGGGGCCUGAGAGGGUGAUCCCCCACACUGGUACUGAGACACGGACCAGACUCCUACGGGAGGCAGCAGUGAGGAAUAUUGGUCAAUGGGUGCAAGCCUGGACCAGCCAUCCCGCGUGAAGGAUUAAGGUCCUAUGGAUUGUAAACUUCUUUUGUAUAGGGAUAAACCUACCCUCGUGAGGGUAGCUGAAGGUACUAUACGAAUAAGCACCGGCUAACUCCGUGCCAGCCGCCGCCGUAA